rnacentral:rRNA from 1 species
CCUACGGGGGGCUGCAGUGAGGAAUAUUGGUCAAUGGCCGCGAGCCUGAACCAGCCAAGUAGCGUGAAGGAUGACUGCCCUACGGGUUGUAAACUUCUUUUAUCAAGGGAUAAAGUGAGGCACGUGUGCCUUUUUGUAUGUACUUUAUGAAUAAGGAUCGGCUAACUCCGUGCCAGCAGCCGCGGUAAUACGGAGGAUCCGAGCGUUAUCCGGAUUUAUUGGGUUUAAAGGGAGCGUAGAUGGGUUGUUAAGUCAGUUGUGAAAGUUUGCGGCUCAACCGCAACAUUGCAGUUGAUACUGGCAGUCUUGAGAACAGGUGAGGUAUGCGGAAUGCGUGGUGUAGCGGUGAAAUGCUUAGAUAUCACGAAGAACUCCGAUUGCGAAGGCAGCUUACUA